rnacentral:rRNA from 1 species
CAAUAGCGUAUAUUAAAGUUGUUGCGGUAAAAAAGCUCGUAGUUGGAUUUCUGUUGAGAGCGACCGGUCCAUACCAUGUAUGCGUAUCUGGCUUGCUCUCGGCAUCCUCUCGAUAGACGUUACUGCGCUUGAUUGCGUGGUGUGGAUCUCGGGACUUUUACUUUGAGGAAAUUAGAGUGUUCACGGCAGGCUUUCGCCAGAAUACAUUAGCAUGGAAUAAUACUAUAGGAUCUUGGUUCUAUUUUGUUGGUUUCUAGAAUUGAGAUAAUGAUUAAUAGGGACAAUUGGGGGCAUUCGUAUCAACACGUCAGAGGUGGAAUUCUUGGAUUGUGUUGCGACGAACUACUGCGAAAGCAUUUGCCAAGGAUGUUUUCAUUGA